CCCUUAGAUGUUCUGGGCCGCACGCGCGCUACACUGACGAAGUCAGCGAGCAUGUCCUACGCCGACAGGUGCGGGGAAUCUUGUCAAACUUCGUCGUGAUGGGGAUUGAUUAUUGAAAUUCUUGAUCAUCAACGAGGAAUUCCUAGUAAGCGCAAGUCAGCAGCUUGCGUUGAUUACAUCCCUGCCCUUUGUACACACCGCCCGUCGCUACUACCGAUUGAAUGGUUUAGUGAGAUCUUCGGAUUGGCGCCACUGCGGCUCAGCAAUGGGCUCGGUGGAUGCCGAAAAGUUGAUCAAACUUGAUCAUUUAGAGGAAGUAAAAGUCGUAACA
rnacentral:rRNA from 1 species